GAGGCCUUAGCUUAAUUAAAGUGUCUGAUUUGCAAUUAGAGGAUGCAAGUUAAUUUCUUGUAGGUCUUA
rnacentral:tRNA from 1 species